CGGGUAGUAGCUCAGUGGUAGAGCUCCCGCUUCAUAUGUGGGGAGUGCUGGGUUCGAUUCCCUACUGCUUGU
rnacentral:tRNA from 1 species